CCUGGCUCAGGACGAACGCUGGCGGCGUGCUUAACACAUGCAAGUCGAGCGGAAAGGCCCUUCGGGGUACUCGAGCGGCGAACGGGUGAGUAACACGUGAGCAACCUGCCCUAGGCUUUGGGAUAACCCUCGGAAACGGGGGCUAAUACCGAAUACGACCUGGCCUCGCAUGAGGUUUGGUGGAAAGUUUUUCGGCCUGGGAUGGGCUCGCGGCCUAUCAGCUUGUUGGUGGGGUGAUGGCCCUACCAAGGCGACGACGGGUAGCCGGCCUGAGAGGGCGACCGGCCACACUGGAACCUGAGACACGGCCCAGACUCCUACGGAAGGCAGCAGUGGGGAAUUAUUGCACAAUGGGCGAAAGCCUGAUGCAGCGACGCCGCGUGAGGGAUGACGGCCUUCGGGUUGGUAAACCUCUUUCAAGCAGCAGGGACGAAGCGAAAGUGACGGUACCUGCAGAAGAAGCGCCGGCCAACUACGUGCCAGCAGCCGCGGUAAGACGUUAGGGCGCGAGGCGUUGUCCGGAUUUAUUGGGCGUAAAGAGCUCGUAGGCGGCUUGUCGCGUCGACCGUGAAAACCCACAGCUCAACCCCGGACCUGCAGUCGAUACGGGCAGACUAGAGUGCAGUAGGGGAGACUGGAAUUCCUGGUGUAGCGGUGGAAUGCGCAGAUAUCAAGCAGGAGGAACACCGAUGGCGAAGGCAGGUCUCUGGGCCGGAAACUGACGCUGGAGGAGCGAAAGCAUGGGGAGCGAACAGGAUUAGAUACCCUGGUAGUCCACGCCGUAAACGUUGGGCACAGCACUAGGUGUGGGGACCAUCCCACGGCCUCCGCGCCGCAGCUAACGCAAUUAAGCGCCCCGCCUGGGGAGUACGGCCGCAAGGCUAAAACUCAAAGGAAUUUGACGGGGGCCCGCCCAGCACAAGCGGCGGAAGCCAUGCGGAUUAACUAUUCGAUGCAACGCCGAAGAACCUUACCUGGGACAGCUUUGGACAUUGGCCGCAAAACUGUCAGAGAGUGUGGGUGGCAGGUCCUCUAUCGGGGGCGGUCACAGGUGGUGCAUGGCUGUCGUCAGCUCGUGUCGUGAGGAUGUUGGGUUAAGUCCCGCAACGAGCGCAACCCUCGUUCGAUGUUGCCAGCGCGUUAAUAGCGGGGACUCAUCGAAGACCAGCCUGCCGGGGUCAACUCGGAGGAAGGUGGGGAUGACGUCAAGUCAUCAUGCCCCUUAUGUCCAGGGCUUCACGCAAUGCUAACAAUGGCCGGUACAAUGGGCUGCGAUACCGUGAACCAGCGGUGGAAGCGAAUCCCAAAAAGCCGGUCUCAGUUCGGAUCGGGGUCUGCAACUCGACCCCGUGAAGUCGGAGUCGCUAGUAAUCGCAGAUCAGCAACGCUGCGGUGAAUACGUUCCCGGGCCUUGUACACACCGCCCGUCACGUCACGAAAGUCGGCAACACCCGAAGCCGGUGGCCCAACCCCUUGUGGGAGGGAGCCGUCGAAGGUGGGGC
rnacentral:rRNA from 1 species